rfam:Gossypium hirsutum cultivar TM-1 chromosome 23, whole genome shotgun sequence
GAUAUCAAGCUAAUCUUCCCCAAGAGCUCACAUGGUGGAGAAGGUUGGCACUUCGAUGUCGGCUCUUCGCCACCUAGGGCUGUAGUAUGUUCCAAGGGUUGGGUUGUUCGCCCAUUAAAGUAGUACGUGAGCUAGGAUCAAAACAUCGUGAGACAGUUC